CUUUCCCCUUCGAUCCUCCCCUGCAAACCAAGUCUCAACGACCAUGGACGUCUUCCCCUGACCGCGCCCCACUGCCCCAGACGCCGUCGCCUACAUCCAUGAGACUUCCCGAUCUUCCUGCGGCCGAGGAUGUCCCAGCGCGACGUCGACUACAGUUGCGGAUUCUGUGGAUACCCUCUAAACCUUUCAUCUUCUAACCGAAGCACGUCUGAAGUAGGCUCCUCAUAUAAGAAGUCUCUGAAGAAGGGAUUGAUUUCAUUCAUUUCUGUUGAUCUAAGCCGAUUUACUCAGGUGGACAAGGUAUCUUGCUUUCCCCUCACCUGGCGCAGUUACAGGCCAAAAACUAAGCUUCUCUGCCGAAAAUGCGGAGCAUCGAUCGGCUAUGGAUACGGUGAGCCAGCUGCUUUGUGCAGUUUUGAUCCAGCAAGUUCAUCUUCCUCCAGUACAUCCCAGAAGUAUUUAAUAAAGAUCCAAGCACUCCAACCUUCAGACGGGACCCAGUAAGUCAGAUAUGGAAAGAGAGACAAUAGAUGCCAGCUUACAGAACUCCAUCAGUUACCUAUCUGACGACUGCUUGCUUUCUAUAUUUAACAUGCUAGAAAGCGAGUCAGAGAGGAGUGCUUUUGGUUUGACCUGCAAGAAUUGGUUCAAGGUUCGGAACCUUGGUCGGAAAUCACUAACAUUCCAUUGUUGUUUUAACCCUGCAAUAGACAAGGAGCAUGCCAAGUGCAUCCCUAAGGUACUGGCUCACUCACCUUGGCUUAACCGGAUAUCCCUUGCUGGGCUCACAGAGCUACCUGACUCAGCUCUGAGCACGCUGAGAAUGUCUGGAUCGUCUCUAAAAUCCCUUUCAUUCUACUGCUGUUCUGGUAUAACAGACGAUGGCCUAGCACAGGUGGCAAUUGGGUGCCCUAAUUUGGUGGUGGUGGAACUCCAAAGCUGCUUUAAAAUUACAGAUGUUGGCUUGGAAAGCCUUUCAAAAGGCUGGCGUGCCCGUGCUUUGAAGAGUCUAAAACCUUGGUUCUUGCAUGGGCAUUUCGGACCAAGGGAUCUCUGGAGUCUUUAGCAACUGUUCAAUCAUUUGCACACUAAGCAUUACAGGUUGCAGGCGUCUGUCUGGUGCUGGAUUCAAAGGCUGUUCGAGUUCGUUUUGUUGCCUUGAAGCUGAGUCUUGCAUGCUUUCUCCAGAUGGUUUAUUGGUAACCUUGCUUUUGCUAAAAGCCUCUGCGUUCUGAAUCUCAGGAUGUGUCGCUACCUCACAGAUGAUUAGCAAUAGCCAGUGGGUGCCCACUGCUUGAGGAGUGGAACCUUGCUGUUUGCCAUGGUGUCCAUUUACCUGGCUGGUCUGCAAUCGGGUUGUACUGCAAUAAGCUAAGAGUGCUGCAUAUGAACCGCGGCCGGCACAUCUGUGACCAGAGUUUGCUGGCCCUCGGCAAUGGCUGUCUGUGCCUUGAGGUUCUGCAUUAAAUGGUUGCGUCAAGAUCACCAACAAUGGCCUGGCUGAUGAAGUCAUAUCCAUUGGCCCUUCCAUUGAGAACUUGUUCCGGCUGCAUUGAGGAGAAACUGUAGUUAGGUUUUCUAAGCCUGGGGCUAAAAGUUUAGUAGCCCCGUCCCAUUACAGCUGAUUAUGUGCAUUGUGUUUGCUCUAGUGUAUACAUAACAAGACCCACCCUACUCAUGUGGGAAACAUGGGCACUGGGCCAGCCCUUUAACAAUAGUGAAUCGUAAUAUACAAAUGAACUGAGCUUAUGUAA